GAGACCGUAAAUAAGAGACUGUUUUAGUAGAUAACAGACCUCUUUGUUUCAAGAGACCCAAUAUUACAAAAAAUCGAUCUCUUUGGUAUUGUCUUAAGAGGUAAAUAUUUAACGGAGACCUUUUAAUAUAGAUAACAGGUCUCUCUUGAUUUUUUUAUUUUUAACUUAAAAGGGAGAGACAUGUGUUAGUACAUAACAGGUUUCUCUUAAUUUUUUUAUUUUAAAUUUUAAAAGGAGAGACCUGUGUUAGUACAUAACCGUCUCUCUUUUCUUUUUUUUAUAUAAAAAAAAAAUGAAAAACUUAUUAGGAGAGACCUGUGACAACUUAACCGGUCUUCCUAAUCUACAAAUAAUAUAAAAAAAAUGAAACCCUAAUAAUUCACAAACCUACAUUCAUCCGCCGCUCCUACUGCUUCUCCUUCUCUCCCUCCUCUUUCUUUCUCCAACUAUUUCUCCUUCUCUUCCUCCUCCCUUCUCUCCCAUGCAACAAAUGAAUUCACCACCACCACCAUGAUCUACUUCCUCCUAAUCUAUCUCCUCACCCGGUUUAUAUCCGACCAAGUCGAGUGAAAGUAAUGACCCGCAUCCACCUCGCUCUAUCAAAUCCACCAUAACAAGACAGUAACUUUAGAGAAGACGUCAUCGGAAGUGAGUCAAGCAAAAUAUCAACAUUUGGCAAGUUCAUUGGCUACAACAGAUCGAUGAAAUCGAAUUUCUGUAAUAAGAGAGACAAAAAUGGGAAUUCUAAGCGCAAUAACUGGUAAAAAAAUAACUCCAUCGUCAACAACAACAACAACCAAUCUAUAUUGAUUCCUGCUCCUCUUGAACCCCAUCAAAUUAAAGCCUAAUGUGUCGAGAUAUGCUGCUUUCACAGGAAAAAAAAAAAUCUCGAGACGAAGAAGUUGGAGUACUUAAGAUUAGCUACAUUUUAUAUGUUAAUGUAAUUAUUUUUGUAAUGAUUACAAUAAUUUGUAUACGAAUUUGGAGUACAUUAUUUUC